GAGCAGGAGGAGCAGCAGCGCGGCAGCAGCAGCAGCAGCGGCGGAGUGCCCCGGCAUCGCGUCCACCGCGCGGCCUCCCGGGCGCGGCGCGCGGGUCGCCCUCCACAGGGUCCGUCCGGCAGUCCGUCCGCCGGUCCUGCCUCCCGACGCCGCCUCAGCGGCACCCGCGCCGGCUGCUUCGGAGCACGCACUGCUGCGGCCGAACCUCAGCCCGGCUCCUGGUCCGCACCCGCCGCUCCGGCCGCAGAAACAACAUCCUUCCCGCCCGCCCGCCCGCCCGCCUGCGCCGCCGCCGCCGCCGCCUCUCAACAGCAGCAACGGCAGCAGCCCUGCGGAGCCGCGGGCCCGGGCAGCCGCGAUCCUGCCGCCAUGAUGGGCUGCGUCAUGUGACGUAGUGCGGGGGCGGGACGCCGUGAUAGGCAUCCCGGCCGGCCAACGGUCAGUCCGUAUUCCCCCCUGGAAGCCCCGCCCAUCAUCCUGAAGGCGGCAAGGUGGUCUCAGGUGCGACCCCUGCAGACAGAGGCGUGUGUAGACAGCAGGGCCAGCUGGUCUGAGCGUGGCCCGUGCAGCAGGAAGCUGAGCAGAGAGGCUGGGUGUGGCCCAACGCUGAUGACAUCAUCUGAGCCCUGGACAGACCCAGCCGUCCUGAGAUCCAAGCCCAGUGGGUGCUGGUGAGAGCAGUGUACAUGGCUCCGAGGUCUGCUAAGGAUGGCGCACAAAAGACCUACACAGCUGGACGAAGCCUGCUCCUGGAGCCAGCAGCAGAGAGGGAGCAGAGGAGGCCAGGAGGCUGGGGAGGAGGCGGGGGUGUCCCCCCAGAGGGCACGGUGGGAGGGGCAGGUGGGAGAGGCAGUGAGAGGCCCAGUCCCGUCCCAGGCAGUGGAAAUAGGAUGGCAGAGGUCUCGGCACAGAAAGGCACAUUAGCAGGGAGCUGGAUCGGAAGUAGAGCCACCGGGACUCAAACACAUGCCCACAUGGGAUGCCAGCAUCCUACGGCGUGGCUAAACCUGCUGUGCCAUGAAGUGGGCCCCAAUCAACCAACCUCAACAGCACUCACAGUGAGCUAG
rnacentral:lncRNA from 1 species